rnacentral:rRNA from 1 species
CCAGACUCCUACGGGAGGCAGCAGUGAGGAAUAUUGGACAAUGGACCGAGAGUCUGAUCCAGCAAUUCUGUGUGCACGAUGAAGUUUUUCGGAAUGUAAAGUGCUUUCAGUUGGGAAGAAAAAAAUGACGGUACCAACAGAAGAAGUGACGGCUAAAUACGUGCCAGCAGCCGCGGUAAUACGUAUGUCACGAGCGUUAUCCGGAUUUAUUGGGCGUAAAGCGCGUCUAGGUGGUUAUGUAAGUCUGAUGUGAAAAUGCAGGGCUCAACUCUGUAUUGCGUUGGAAACUGUAUAACUAGAGUACUGGAGAGGUAAGCGGAACUACAAGUGUAGAGGUGAAAUUCGUAGAUAUUUGUAGGAAUGCCGAUGGGGAAGCCAGCUUACUGGACAGAUACUGACGCUGAAGCGCGAAAGCGUGGGUAGCAAACAGGAUUAGAUACCCUGGUAGUCCACGCCGUAAACGAUGAUUACUAGGUGUUGGGGGUCGAACCUCAGCGCCCAAGCAAACGCGAUAAGUAAUCCGCCUGGGGAGUACGUACGCAAGUAUGAAACUCAAAGGAAUUGACGGGGGCCCGCAAG